UAGGGAAUCUUCGGCAAUGGGGGCAACCCUGACCGAGCAACGCCGCGUGAGUGAAGAAGGUUUUCGGAUCGUAAAGCUCUGUUGUAAGUCAAGAACGAGUGUGAGAGUGGAAAGUUCACACUGUGACGGUAGCUUACCAGAAAGGGACGGCUAACUACGUGCCAGCAGCCGCGGUAAUACGUAGGUCCCGAGCGUUGUCCGGAUUUAUUGGGCGUAAAGCGAGCGCAGGCGGUUUGAUAAGUCUGAAGUUAAAGGCUGUGGCUCAACCAUAGUUCGCUUUGGAAACUGUCAAACUUGAGUGCAGAAGGGGAGAGUGGAAUUCCAUGUGUAGCGGUGAAAUGCGUAGAUAUAUGGAGGAACACCGGUGGCGAAAGCGGCUCUCUGGUCUGUAACUGACGCUGANGCUCGAAAGCGUGGGGAGCGAACAGGAUUAGAUACCCUGGUAGUCCACGCCGUANACGAUGAGUGCUNNNGNUGGAUCCUUUCCGGGAUUCAGUGCCGUAGCUAACGCAUUAANCACUCCGCCUGGGGAGUACGACCGCANNNUG
rnacentral:rRNA from 1 species